AUUGAACGCUGGCGGCAUGCCUUACACAUGCAAGUCGAACGGUAACAGGUUAAGCUGACGAGUGGCGAACGGGUGAGUAAUAUAUCGGAACGUGCCCAGUCGUGGGGGAUAACUGCUCGAAAGAGCAGCUAAUACCGCAUACGACCUGAGGGUGAAAGCGGGGGAUCGCAAGACCUCGCGCGAUUGGAGCGGCCGAUAUCAGAUUAGGCAGUUGGUGGGGUAAAGGCUCACCAAGCCAACGAUCUGUAGCUGGUCUGGGAGGACGACCAGCCACACUGGGACUGAGACACGGCCCAGACUCCUACGGGAGGCAGCAGUGGGGAAUUUUGGACAAUGGGCGCAAGCCUGAUCCAGCCAUGCCGCGUGCGGUAAGAAGGCCUUCGGGUUGUAAACCGCUUUUGUCAGGGAAGAAAAGGUUCUGGUUAAUACCUGGGACUCAUGACGGUACCUGAAGAAUAAGCACCGGCUAACUACGUGCCAGCAGCCGAGUAAC
rnacentral:rRNA from 1 species